AUGCUCAAGUUGGAACACCGGUUUUCAUACGAUCUCCGAUGUUAAGCAACGUCGAGCCUGGUCAGUAACUAGAUGGGUGACCGUUUGAGAAAUUCCAGGUGCU